rnacentral:rRNA from 1 species
GAUGAACGCUGGCGGCGUGCCUAAUACAUGCAAGUCGAGCGAACAGACGAGGAGCUUGCUCCUCUGACGUUAGCGGCGGACGGGUGAGUAACACGUGGAUAACCUACCUAUAAGACUGGGAUAACUUCGGGAAACCGGAGCUAAUACCGGAUAAUAUAUUGAACCGCAUGGUUCAAUAGUGAAAGACGGUUUUGCUGUCACUUAUGGAUCGAUCCGCGCCGCAUUAGCUAGUUGGUAAGGUAACGGCUUACCAAGGCGACGAUGCGUAGCCGACCUGAGAGGGUGAUCGGCCACACUGGAACUGAGACACGGUCCAGACUCCUACGGGAGGCAGCAGUAGGGAAUCUUCCGCAAUGGGCGAAAGCCUGACGGAGCAACGCCGCGUGAGUGAUGAAGGUCUUCGGAUCGUAAAACUCUGUUAUUAGGGAAGAACAAAUGUGUAAGUAACUAUGCACGUCUUGACGGUACCUAAUCAGAAAGCCACGGCUAACUACGUG